GGACAUGAGGUCAGUCUGGAUGUGAUCUCUCACUCCAGCAAUCACCAGGGUUUAUUUGGCUGAUCUGGCUGGUUAGCUCUUUUCUCUUAAAUACUCUGCAUGUUCUCUUUCAUAAGUUGCAAUCUCUAUCAGAGAAGAAGACUACUGCUGAUUGUGGAUGUGUGUGCUACUGA
rnacentral:snRNA from 1 species